CUAGCCACUAGCCUUGUUUUGUGCUUGCCAAUUGACUCAUCUGGCUUAUAUUUGACCUUAAAAACUCAUCUGACGCUGAUGGCUUUCUUCUUAUCUGGAAGCUUAGUCAGCUUCCAAGUCUUGUUUCUUUCUAUAGCCUCAAGUUCUUCUUUCUUGGCAUUCAGCCAUAUUUUCUUGAGAGUUCUACAAUACUCACGGAUUCAGAGUCUACUAGCAUGGCACAGUGAACAAUUUCUCCUUCUAAAUCUACUUCAGUGUCUUGCAACAUGUCAAACUCUACAAACCUUCUUGGAAUUUGUCUAA